UCAGUAACACGUGGCCAAACUACCCUGUCGAUCGGGACACCCUCGGGAAACUGAGGCUAAUCCCGGAUACGGCUCGCUGCCUGGAGGUGGCGCGAGUUCGAAACGUUCAGGCGCGACAGGAUGUGGCUGCGGCCGAUUAGGUAGACGGUGGGGUAACGGCCCACCGUGCCGAUAAUCGGUACGGGUUGUGAAAGCAAGAGCCCGGAGACGGAAUCUGAGACAAGAUUCCGGGCCCUACGGGGCGCAGCAGGCGCGAAACCUUUACACUGCACGCGAGUGCGAUAGGGGGACUCCAAGUGCGAGGGCAUACAGUCCUCGCUUUUCACCACCGUAAGGAGGUGGUAGAAUAAGUGCUGGGCAAGACCGGUGCCAGCCGCCGCGGUAAUACCGGCAGCACGAGUGAUGACCGCUAUUAUUGGGCCUAAAGCGUCCGUAGCCGGCCGGGCAAGUCCAUCGGGAAAUCCGCACGCCUAACGUGCGGGCGUCCGGUGGAAACUGCUCGGCUUGGGACCGGAAGAUCCAGAGGGUACGUCCGGGGUAGGAGUGAAAUCCCGUAAUCCUGGACGGACCACCGGUGGCGAAAGCGCUCUGGAAAGACGGAUCCGACGGUGAGGGACGAAAGCUUGGGUCACGAACCGGAUUAGAUACCCGGGUAGUCCAAGCUGUAAACGAUGUCUGCUAGGUGUGGCACAGG
rnacentral:rRNA from 1 species